UCUUGAUGUGUUCGUGUUUCUAGUACACAGUAUUUUGCAAUCGGAACCUGUUUUUCCAAGCCUUGCCUGUAUCAGCUUAUCCUCGUGCCCUGAUUUAUUUGUUGUACCGUCUGGUGGCAUAUAGAGCAUAUGUUCUGUGGGUGAACAACAAUCACAAGCUUGGCUUCAGCAACAGAGUCGUCCUCCCCGCUUGUGUGUUGACACAUGUAUGAACAACCUUUCCUGCAGAAGAAAGAGAUGAGGGUUAUACUGGGUUUCAUCCUUUUGAGGGACUGUGGAUAUUUCAGGACUGAACUGUCAAUUGUCAAAUGACAUGGUGCACAGCAACACUGCGUGGCAUCAAAGCAAAUACAAAAACACAUCGCAUUUCAUUUAUUCUGACAUCCCUUAUGAUUUUGUAUGACUUGUAAUAAAUUGGUUUAAUCAUUAA